GCGUAGCUCAGUGGAUAGAGUGGCUGACUACGAAUCAGUAGGUCGCGGGUUCGAAUCCCUCCGCGC
rnacentral:tRNA from 1 species